GAUGAAGAACGCAGCGAAAUGCGAUAAGUAAUGUGAAUUGUAGAAUUCAGUGAAUCAUCGAAUCUUUGAACGCACAUUGCGCCCCUUGGUAUUCCGAGGGGCAUGCCUGUUCGAGCGUCAUUAUAACCCCUCAAGCUCAGCUUGGUGUUGGGGCCUGCUGCACUGGCAGCCCUUAAAAUCAGUGGCGGCGCCGUCUGGCUCUAAGCGUAGUAAUUCUUCUCGCUAUGGAGUCCUGGUGGAUGCUUGCCAUCAACCCCCAAUUUUUCUAUGGUUGACCUCGGAUCAGGUAGGGAUACCCGCUGAACUUAAGCAUAUCAAUAAGCGGAGGA
rnacentral:misc_RNA from 1 species